rnacentral:pre_miRNA from 1 species
GAUAUCAACUGAAAAAGUCAUCAACAAGAAAGUUGAAUAACUCAUCAUGAUCUAAAACUUUUAUUUUGGUCAUUUUUUCAUACGACAAAGUGAUAGUAACAUUAUUUACAAAAUUGACAUAUCUCUUAUCUGGUUUAUAAACUAUAACACGUAGAUGUAAAAUUUGUGAAUAAUGUUACUAACAUUUUGCUGGAUGAAGAAAUAACAAAAAUAAAAGUUUUAAAUCUUGAUGAGUUAUUCAACUUUGUUGUUGAUGACCUUUUCAAUUGAAAUA